rnacentral:misc_RNA from 1 species
AACUGAUACUACCUGCGGGAACCUGCGGAGGGAUCAUUACCAAUUUUUAAUAUUAGUUCAAGAUCGAGGGUCAAACCGAGGUCUCUGAAACUACUAUGUAAACGUUGAACUAGAUCAUUGAUGUGGAUUGCUUGGGAAUGGUUAGAAGCGACAAGCCUCUUUCCGGACAGGCAAACCCCACAUCGAUAACCUUUUCAUAACUUACAACUAGUACAUACUACAAACAAACACAAACAAAUA